rnacentral:rRNA from 1 species
GAGUUUGAUCCUGGCUCAGAUUGAACGCUGGCGGCAGGCCUAACACAUGCAAGUCGAGCGGUGGAGAGAAGCUUGCUUCUCUUGAGAGCGGCGGACGGGUGAGUAAUGCCUAGGAAUCUGCCUGGUAGUGGGGGAUAACGCUCGGAAACGGACGCUAAUACCGCAUACGUCCUACGGGAGAAAGCAGGGGACCUUCGGGCCUUGCGCUAUCAGAUGAGCCUAGGUCGGAUUAGCUAGUUGGUGAGGUAAUGGCUCACCAAGGCGACGAUCCGUAACUGGUCUGAGAGGAUGAUCAGUCACACUGGAACUGAGACACGGUCCAGACUCCUACGGGAGGCAGCAGUGGGGAAUAUUGGACAAUGGGCGAAAGCCUGAUCCAGCCAUGCCGCGUGUGUGAAGAAGGUCUUCGGA